CACAGACUCACUUCCCCAUACGGCAGCACAUACCUGCGUGGCACGCAGCAUCUCCUUGGACCCAUGAGGUUCCCCGGGAGGUGGCAGGGACUCUGAUAUCGUCGUCAGGAUUGCUUUGUCUGGGAGGCACCAUCGACGUCCACCACCGCUGGCUCUGGCACCUGGAUAAAUUCUCUGCCCCUUCCUGAUCCUGCCAACAAACUGGAUUCCACACAGCUCCUGGGUGUGCUGGCUGUUCUCUUUCAAAAAAGCACCUACUAAAAGAACCUGAGCUGAGGCCUUGUGGACACUCUCCUGCCAGGAACUGUGACAGCUGGUGAGUUUGUUUCUCCCCCUUCCACAUAGGUUUUUUUUUUUCUUUUUGGAUCACACCCGGCGAUGCACAGGGUCACUCCUGGCUCUGCACUCAGGAAUCACCCCUGGCGGUGCUCAGGGGACCAUAUGGGAUGCUGGGAUUCCAACCUGGGUCGGCCACGUGCAAGGCAAACGCCCUACCCGCUGUGCUAUCACUCCAGCCCCCCACAUAGGGUUUUAAUGGAACUGCUACUUUGCCCCCAUGGGCCAUGGCAAAGUGGGUUUGUGUGCAGGGGGUCGGGGAGUAACUUUUAUUUGAGGUCACUGGACCACAAGGAGACUUGCCAGAGGGUUCUGCAUCCUUGGGUGCUUUUGCAUUUGGUGCUGGCUUUGCUCACAGGGGAAUAACUGUGAUAACUGUUAUCCUUUGCUCACAGGGGAAUAACUGGGAUGACUGAGCCACUAGAGAGAUCCUGAGUGCCUGAGUUGCCACAUGGAGCAGACUCUGACAUGCACUGGAAUGGAACAAGAGUGGGAAUAAGUCUUUAUUAUGAUAAAUAACCCAAUCAAUGCAUCUUAACCCUGCUGUUAUUUUAGGACCAACUGUUUCAUAAUUGGCUUACCUGGAUCAAGGCAAUAAUCAAAGCUAUCCGUAAUGAAACACACAGGAAAUAUGUUCGCUUUUGCUAGUCUCUCCAAUUUUCUUUGCACCAAGCAAUUCUAGAGGACCACCGUGGCUAAAAGCUUAUGUUUAAACUUGGAUUUUCUUUCAUGCUUCUACUCUUCUCAUCUGAAGUUAUUUAGUCUUUUAAGCACACUGCAACGUGCUUAAACUCAGAUCAACUACUCUCUCUUUUGGGCCUCCCAAGAAGUGUUCAGAAGGGUUGGGCACCACCUGUCCUAAUGAUCUCAGGCCAACAGAUUGGGAGUUCAAUGCAAAGGCCUCAGGAUGUGGUGCUGUUUGGGUCUUGCGAUGUGGGGGACUGCCCCGGACACUCAAAUGGUGCCUGGAGUCAUCCAGGGCCAUACCUGGUAGCAUCUGGAGCCUCCACUCUACCCAGUGAUGCUCAGGGCACUACAUGGGGCUGGAGAUCAAUCUGGAAUUGGCUGUAUACAAGGUAUGUGCUGUAAACCCUGUACCAUCUCUCCAGCUCCCGGAUUUACAGUUACUUGCCUUCUUAGCCUUGAUUUUUGACCUUAUCUGAGCCUCAGUUCUCUCUUCUGGAAGUGGCUACAAUGAUAGCACCCUAUCUUAGGUUGUUGUGAAAACGAAGUGAAUUAGUGUACAGUGAUGGGCAAAGUGUCUGGUACACAACAGGAACCCAAUAAAACGUUUCAUCAUCAUUGUCCUUCGCCUGGCACUGAAGUUGCUUGGUACCACUAAGCUGCUUGGUUCUGAUAACCCUGAAUGAGAAUGAGAGAACUCUUGUGCACAGUCUGUGUUUCUUUGAGAUAGCCGCCGAUUUCAUGACCCUUGCUUUUGUUGAGCAAUUUUGGGAGGAAGAUUUUGCCUCUCCCCAGUCUACUCUAGAAAAUUUGUGUGUUUUUUCUUUUCUUUUUGGGUCACACCCAGUGAUGCUCAGGGGUUACCCCAGGCUCUGCACUCAGGAAUUACUCCUGGUGGUGCAUGGGGGACCAUAUGGGAUCCUGGGGAUUGAACUCGAGUUGGCCACGUGCAAGGCAAACGCCCUAUCUGAUGUACUAUUACUCCACCCCUACUCUAGAAAACUUGGCGUGGUCCUGGGUGCUCAUCCCAGUGUUCUGAGUCAGUAUCAGGGCUUCCGUUAAUGACCUGACUCUGGAAAUGCAUUACUGAUCUGUACCUGUGGCAGCUGCAGUAAGAGGAAUGGAGGAAGGUGAAAUAUAUGUACGGAGAAAGGAACCACUCCCUCCUGAGAACUGCUUCCUCUUUAGCAUAGUGGGAUAAAAAUGAGCCAAUAGGCUUAGAGAGGAUGCUUUGUUGCUUAUUCCUACUCCCCAUCCUUGUUCCCAAAGUACAGUGCUCCAUCUUCUGCUUUCCAACGAAGUGUAGGCAGCGUUUACAAUAUCCAACAUCCUUUCAUCACUCACUCUGAGAACAGAGACUGAGCCUGUCAGGAAUGGCCUCGUCUGGCCUCUGCACCGGGCAGUUACAGUUCUGGCUGACCUGUGUGUCUGGGCUUACCAAUGUGGCUGGCAUGGGCCAACUCACUGCACACACUCCCUAGCGAAGCAAACGAGGCAGGCACACCCACUUUCCUUGGCAUGUUUUUUGGUUGACCCAAACUGCAAACAUCAACAUGUAUAAGACAUAUGCUCUCUUUUUUGUGCAACUCCAGGCACCAAAAUAUGCCUACACACAGGGGUGUGUGCAUUCAGACACAUGCAUAUUCUUUUUGCCUGGUGGAAAUAUGCUUCUGCGAUGUUCCUUCGACACCCACUCAUGCCCCUCCUUGGCUGGCACCUCUCCUAAUGAUUCCCAUCGACUCCCUCCCCAUAGACCUUUUUUCUGUGUACAUUUUGGCACCCCUUCUCUUAUUUCUGCCUGGUUCUUUUCUUUCCCUGCCUCCCUCCCUUCCCCUCCUCUUCAAACCUCUUUAGAAAAUUUGUUAAACUAUACAUUCUUUAUUAGUAAUGUACAUUUAUGAAAAAUUCUUCACAGUUACAAAAUUGCAUGGUUAUAAAAUCAUCUCCAUACAAAGGUUGGCAUCUUCCCUUGCCCCUGCCCUCCCCCGCCCUCCCACUCCCCGACAUCAACAUUCCACGGGACAAUGCUUAGAAAAACGGAGAGCUUCUGUGGACCCGGGACCCCUGACCCAGGGGUAGCAAACACGGUGGUGAUGUACAAGGACCCUGUUGUUUGCCUCCCUUUGUUCCCUUUGCCUCCUUCUGAGGCGUGGAGAGCGGAAAAAUUUCUUUAGCCUCUGGAAGCCAUUCCUCUGAGAAAAGAAGCCUACCUCUUGUUACAGAGCUGGAAAGAAUGUCAUCGUGAUAGCCACAAAGACAUCUACAGGGACAAAGGUGAGGUGGGUAAGACUUCCUGGAUGAUUGAAGAGAAAUUUGUGUACGCUCAAAUUCCAUAAGUCAACUUCCUUGAAAGGAACCAUUGACUCUGGUAAUAUCUUUUGGUCAGGUACACUGCAUCUCUGUAGUGAUGGAGAGAAACAGGUGAAGGCUUCUCUGAGGAUGGGCAGAAGUAACGGUGUUAUAAUACGGAUGGGAGGUUUUGCAUUGAAAAAAAUGUCUUAGUCCAGACAUUGACUGUCAAAGCCUCGUUGAUUAACUCUGCUUUUACAGCCUGACAUGAGUGGGAAAGAAACUUCUGGAAUAAGGGCAACUCUCUGAGAGGCAGGGAAUAAGGGAACCAAUCAAACUGUUCUUAGGCUGCGUAUACUGCUGAGCAGUUUUCCCUACUCCAACCCUCAUAGAAUUCUAUCCUAGAAGACAUAAUAGUAACAGACAGUGGAAGAGAGUGUCAGAGAAUAAAUCCCAAUUCCUCUCCCCAGAGAGAUGGUUCCCAUAUUUGUGGAGUCCCAACAUACACAGAACUUCACAAACACACAAAUGGACUCAGAGAUACCCCGACAUUUACGUAAUAACCACGCUGGAAAAACUUCGUGAAUCCAUGUCGGAACACCACCAUGGGUUCUUGGCUGGCAGAGUUGUGGAAGAAUUCCACUCAGGUCUUCUAGAUGGUCUAGAAACACGACUCUAGAAUCUGACUUCUGACGCCCUGCAUGAGAGAGUAGUGGAGGGGGUAUCGGGGAGAAUCAGGAAGUUCCUUAAAAGUGGGAAAGAUGAAGGCUUUUCUUGUUGAGUUGGUUUCGUCAGCUGGGAAACUGCUAGUAGCUGGAUAAGCAUCAACUCAGGAAAACCCAUGUAUUCUACUUAGAAAAGUUGUUUGUAAAGGAUGGGGAGGCUAGGUAGUCUGGUAAGAAAGGACAUUGGACUUCAAGGAUGUUCAAUUCUUGUUUGGUUCUAGUUCUAGUGAAGAGAAGUACAUAUUUUCAAAUAUAUUACCCUUAUUUCAGCACACGGGAAUCUCUAGGACGUUAUUACAGAUGCCUAAGGUGUCCCUCUAUGGGAGGAUUGAUUAUUUGUAUUAGGACUAUUACGCUAAUGAUUCCUCUCCGAGCGUUUUAAGCUGACAUAGUGAAGAACAGCAAGGCUCUGUUCUAGGCGUCACGGGAGCAGAGCGCUGACCCAGGUGUUGUAUGUGGGACUCAGGGAGCAUAAGGUUCAAGUAUCCCAGGUCUGGUAAAGUUUCUGGACACUCAUUUGGUUAACUAGCUCAGGGAAGCAUGAGUAGGGAAGACUUCUGAAGAUGGUAAAUAAUUCCCCUUCAUUCCUUUAAGCCCUAGGGGGUGGUGCAAGCCUGCUGAUGCGGAGGGGGGAGCAGGGGAGUGCAAGGGAGACAGCCCUAGCUCUAAUUCUCCUCCUGGCCAGGCUCCCCAACCUUGUAAGAUGAAGCCUUGCCAUUUUCCACUUUCCUGCGGAAGUUCUCACCCUACCCCUGCUGUCUCAUACAACAAAGGACCAGUGAAGUGGGAGUGGGAGGAGUUAGCCCAGCUCCCCUUCACCCCGUUUCAUCCAUCUGAUAUAUUUUGCACGACAGCUACUGUGCCCACUAGUUCAAAUGUGUGGUUCGCACAUCACCGGGCAAGUAUUUCCUACUCAGAGGUUUUUGUGACUGCUACAAUGGUUCAGAAAGGCUGAUAUUGUCCCUACCUUGAGCAUCUCUGUGUGCAGCGGCUGAAUUUUACUGCCCUCUCUUGAGCUGAUUUCCUAGCACGCAAUCUCCUGGCUGCUGACUCCCAUCGCCUCCUUGUCCAGCCUCCCCGGGCAUUUCAAGCAUCCGGAAAAGCCCUGGGAAGAGAAUUCAGCUGGUUUUGAGUCCCAGCUUGUCACGUAGGCAAGUCACACCCACUCUUGAGUUUCUGUUUUCCACCUAUGCCAGAAGGGAGUCACAAUGUUUGGUUUGCGUCACACACAGGUUUGGGAAAAGUAAUGGAGAGGGACGCUGCAGCACUGCGGGACCUGUCCAGUGCUGAACAAAUGCGGGGAAGCUACAGCCGUCGCAGAAACUGGAGGGGAAGAUGCAGAUGACGACGACGACGGUGAAACUUGUGCUUUGCCCAUGAAGUUACUUGAUGUUUGAGUGACUGGAUAGACACAGUUUCCCUGAAUGGAGCUGCCUGUCACCUUCCUUCUGGGGUUAAUCUGGAUGGCCUGGGAUGAGUUGCUCAGCUCUGUACAAUGACGUCAUCUGAAAAAAUAGGAACAAUAACUCCCCCCACCCCCAUCGUCCCGGCAGUGUUGCUGUGGAUCUUGAGAUAAAUGAGUCUAUAGAUGUAAAAGUUCUAGAAAGAGGGCCUGGCUCGUGUGUAGAGCUUCCUCAGCAGGGUUGGGGUUUUAAUCGAGAUCGUUGUAGAGAGAACUGACUUCCCCAAGCUCGGAUAAGGGUCGUCGAAAGAGCAGAGACUCAUUUUUCUCAGGAAGUAGCCUUGACUUCUCUGAGCCUUGAUUUCCUCAUCUGUAGAAUGGGAAUGACAAUGUGCACCCUGAUGUCCUACGUUGUGCAGAAAAAGGGAAUCAUCCUAGUGCCUGCCCCUGGCCAGUGCUUGGUAAUCAUGUCCUUCAAAGCUCUAAAAAUCUCCCAUCCUUUUGCUUACAUGGUGAGCUGGUGAAAAGAGCAAGUGUUCUUACAGUCACAACUGAGUCUCUUUUGCCUCCUACAGGCCUGGGAACAGUCAUGUGACAAGGCUGGAGCCCGUGGUGCGCUUUUAUGGUGAGAUCCCCUGAUGGAAGUACCAUACAGGACCAGUCCUGGUGCCACACGACUCUGGCUGCCUCUGCAGCUGAGCUCGCUUCUCUCUGCUGCAGCCAGUGUUUGAGUCAGGCAUCGGUAGGAGAAAGGGAGUUGAAGGUGUCUUUCUUUUGCUUGCUAUCUGGGGCCUCACCAGCAGGCCCCAUGCAGGGUGGAACAUGGGGAGUCCAAGAGGGAACUUCAUCUGGUAGCUGCUGGUAGGAGGAGACCAAGGCGGAUUGGCAUGGAGGUGUUCCCAUCCUCAGGAGGCAGUGGCGGGCAAUGCUGAGGGCUGACUGUUUAGGUAUCAUAGGGCAAAUUUUGGUCCUGGGCCACUUCCCUCUUCACUGUUCUCAACACACCGUGUCUAUUCUGGCAUCUAUCAUUGGCACGCAGGUCUUUUGUCUACUUGACAAGGCAGAAGUGUUUUGAGGACCCAGUUCACAAAUCCCCCCUCGCUCCAAUCCUCUUGAACUUUUCUGUGCAAGGUUGAUGACACCACCUCUGAACACCCCAAACGAAGUGCUCAGGGGGG